rnacentral:misc_RNA from 1 species
GAAAUGCGAUAAGUAAUGUGAAUUGCAGAAUUCAGUGAAUCAUCGACUCUUUGAACGCACAUUGCGCCCGCCAGUAUUCUGGCGGGCAUGCCUGUCCGAGCGUCAUUUCAACCAUCAAGCCCCCGGGCUUGUGUUGGGGACCUGCGGCUGCCCGCAGGCCCUGAAAACCAGUGGCGGGCUCGCUGUCACACCGAGCGUAGUAGCAAUCACCUCGCUCAGGGCGUGCUGCGGGUUCCGGCCGUUAAACAGCCUUACAAAACCCAAGGUUGACCUCGGAUCAGGUAGGAAGACCCGCUGAACUUAAGC